CCAGGUAGAACAGAACCGUCAUUUUUGCGCAGUAAGUAACGCUCAGCUUCUUCAAUUUGAACCAGAUCGCAAUAGAGAAAUAUCAAGAGGAAAUGAAAACGAGAUGGACCGAACCAAUAAAGAAAAAAGUCGGCCGGAAGUGCUAGUGUUUGAGCGGCUGCUGCUUGGACAUGCCAACCGGAAAUUAGUUCGUUUGCUGCAAAGAUCGCAAAAAGCUUCGGUUUCCAAAUCAAGCGGUUAACGGAUGACGCUGCCACCGCCAUGUUCCAUAUAGGCGUUUCUACGACGGCUCUCAACAUGGCGGCUACGGCCACGGCACCGGGGUCAGGCAGGGUGACCCGCUCGGCG